ACGCUUGCCCCCGUACGUAUUACCGCAGCUGCUGGCACGUAGUUAGCCGGGGCUGUCUUCUCCUAACCGUCACACACAAGGCAGUUACUCCUCAUGCUGUUCGUGUAGGGCAACAGAGCUUUACGAUGCCGAAACCGUCAUCACUCACGCGGGGUUGCUCCGUCAGACUGUGCGUCCAUUGCGGAGGAUUCCCUACUGCUGCCUCCCGUAGGAGUCUGGGCCGUGUCUCAGUCCCAGUGUGGCCGUUCACCCUCUCAGGUCGCUCGCAUCGUCGCCUUGGUGAGCCGUUACCUCACCAACUAGCUAAUGCGCCGCAGGCCCAUCUCUAAGCCACAGAUUGCUCCGUGUAUUACGAUUCUCUCAUGCGAGAAAACCGGUUAUCCGGUCUUAGCUAUCGUUUCCGAUAGUUAUCUCAGUCUUAAAGGCAGGUUACCUACGUGUUACUCACCCGUCCGCCGCUAGCUUACCCCGAAGGAUAAACCCGCUCGACUUGCAUGUGUGAGGCCUAAGGGCGAAUUCUGCAGAUAUCAUCACACUGGCGGCCGCUCGAGCAUGCAUCUAGAGGGCCAAUUCGCC
rnacentral:rRNA from 1 species